CAGCAGCCGCGGUAAUUCCACGCCUAAUACUUGCGUAAACACGAACUUUUUGGAACGUGGCAUUUAUUAGCUUGAAACCAACUGCCCGUUAAACGGCUUGAUUGAUUUCUAAUAACUCAGUGAAUCUCAGUCAAAUGAGAUUUCCGCUAUUGACAGAUGAUGUAUUAGUUUGAAAGUUGUGUAGUGGACAACUUUGACGAUUAUGCUAACGGGGAUCUAGAGGUCGAUACCGGAGAGAGAGCCUGAGAGACAGCUCUCAUUUCUAAGGAAAGCAGCAGGGACGAAAAUUGUACAAUAAUUAAUUAAUUGAUACAGUGACAAUCUGUAAUUGUUUUUGCCGGGUUAAACUGGUAAAAAAUAGUUAAUAAAAUAUUACUUAAACUCGUUUUAGGAAAACGAUGGCCAUAGCUUUGCCAGCAGCAGCGGUAAUAAUGCAUCGUUGAGUUGACAUCCAUAAUGCGAAUAAACGUUCGUAGUUGGUAUUCAUUAUACGUUGUUAUGAUGAGGGCUCCUUCGGGGUCUUUUUAUUUGUGCGGGACAUUUGUUCCGUUUCAAACAUUAUAAUUUUUUAAUGUAUAAUAUAGGAUUUAACGAUGUAGUCAAAUACAUGAGUAAAUUCUUUUACCAUGAGAAAAAGAGUACGCUAAAAGUGGGCUCUAAUGCUUGAAUCAUUCAGCAUGGAAUAAACACAACAGGCUCACAUUAUAUAGUUGUUAUGGGGGUGGUCUCGGCCAUGCCUAUAAUGGUUAUAUGGUGGGUUAUUAUAGUUUUUACUAUAAUAAUUUCGGUCCUUGUUUGUAAGUUGGUUCUUCACGACCAAGUCAUGAUCAAUAGGGGUGGUUGAGGAGAUGUACGUAUGCGUGGGAGAGAGGUGAAAUUUGAUGACCCCACUGCAGACAAACAAAAGCGAAAGCAUUCAUCGAUUACAUUCCCGUUAAUCAAGAACGAAAGUUAGAGUAGCAAAGGCCAUUAGAUGCAGCUGUAGUUUUAACCAUAAACGAUGACAUCUCAGGAUAUCAUUGAUGAUCAUGCUAAAUUAUUAGAUAUUCUCUCGGGGAUAUUUAGUAAUUGCUAAUGUAGAUCUUGUUCAUAGAGUUUUUUAAGCAGGGGUAACCCUGUUACUCGUAUUAGACCAGUGAUGCACUGUGUGGGAAACCAACAGCUGUCUUCGUGGAGUGUAUGUUAGCAAUGAUGAAAUUUAAAAGAAUUGACGGAAGUAUCACCACCAGGAUUGGAUCGUGCGGCUUAAUUUGACUCAACACGGG
rnacentral:rRNA from 1 species